rnacentral:rRNA from 1 species
AGCGAACGCUGGCGGCAGGCCUAACACAUGCAAGUCGAGCGCCGUAGCAAUACGGAGCGGCAGACGGGAGAGUAACACGUGGGAACGUGCCCUUUGGUUCGGAACAACCCAGGGAAACUUGGGCUAAUACCGGAUAAGCCCUUACGGGGAAAGAUUUAUCGCCGAAGGAUCGGCCCGCGUCUGAUUAGCUAGUUGGUGGGGUAAUGGCCCACCAAGGCGACGAUCAGUAGCUGGUCUGAGAGGAUGAUCAGCCUCACUGGGACUGAGACACGGCCCAGACUCCUACGGGAGGCAGCAGUGGGGAAUAUUGGACAAUGGGCGCAAGCCUGAUCCAGCCACGCCGCGUGAAUGAUGAAGGUCUUAGGAUUGUAAAAUUCUUUCACCGGGGACGAUAAUGACGGUACCCGGAGAAGAAGCCCCGGCUAACUUCGUGCCAGCCGCCGCCGUAA